UUCAGUCCAUAAGCCUGCCAAACAAAUUAUCACAACUUUGCAGCUUAAAACACACUCAUUUAUUACUCCACAGUUUUUUAGAUAAGUACAGACAGUUCGACUGGAUUCUCUGCUCAGGGUCUCAUCAGGCUGAAGUCUAAGGUGUUGUCUGGGUGGGUGUCUCAUGUGGAGGCUGUGGGGAGGAGUCUAUUCAGAUUCAGAUCUGUGUGGCCAUAAAGUGGAGGGCUUCACUUUCUUUCUGGCUGUUGCUUGAGAGCAACUCUCAGUCCCUGGAGGACACUCAUAGUCCUUGGCAUGUGGCCCCUUCCAUAUUUAAAGCCAGCAGUCACUCCUGGGCUUGAAGUCUUUCACUUCCUCAUCUGUUACCAGCCAGAGAAAACUGCUUUUAAAGGUCUCAUGUGAUUAGAUCAGGCCCACCCAGAUAAUCUCCCUUUUGCCAUAUACGAUAACAUCGCAUCACCAUAGGAGCGAUAUCUCCUCACAUUCGGAUUCCCUGCACCCUCAAAAGGAGGUGACUGUACAGAGGUGAAGGUGAUUCUUAGAACUCUGCCUACCAUGCUCUCACAGAAGAGAUUGUGCGUUUGGAUGAAGCUUCAGCCCGUGCCAAUGAGGUUCCAUCCUCUUGUGAUCUUCCCUUCCUGCCUGCCAGUUGAUGAGAACUUCCAUCUGCGCCCAUGAAUUUGAGUUUGCCCAUGAACUUCCCUUCCCGACAGCCUGUGGAUCUCAGACUUGCUUAGCCAACCCCACAUUUGUGAAAGUCAAUUUCCUAUUGAUGCUUUCAUUAUAAGGGCUUCCAAGUUCAGGUACAGAACAAUGUAAAAUGCAUAACUUCAGCUGCAGCCGUUAUUCCAGAGUUCUGAAGAGCAGCCAGCAGAAAUUGGUCAAGAGUCCAUUUGGCCCACACCCUCCACCCGUCUACCACAGAGGCGGGCUACUCAUAGAACACAUCACAGAAUGCUUUAAAUGUUCUGCCAAUUUUCAGCUCUCACAAAGCAAGAACUUUGGCCAAUUUCUUCAUUAUAACCUACAAGAAAUAGCCUGUGGUCAAGUUAAUUCAAAGGAGAAUGCAUGAAGUCUGCAGCGCUGGCAGGCGGGAAUGACAGUAUUGACCCAAGUCUCUGUUGCUAUCAGCCAAGUAGACCACUUAUGUCGUAAAGAAAAUCAGCACGGCUGGAACCUCAGCUGUGAGGGCUGGAGUUGGUAUUUGUUUCUUUGGACUCUUGUUUCCCACCCAAUACAUUUUAUUUUAUUACAGGAAAAAUAAUUUAAGGCUUUGGCACAAAACAAUUAAAUAAUUCAGAGACUAGUGAUUUUUUUUCAAAUUUGUAGCUGGAUGAAAUAUUCAUAAGAUGUAGAUCAGUAGGUCCAUCUUAGAUGGGCAGUGCAUGAGACCACUGAAGCUUCAUCAUGGUGUGGCUGAAGAGCUCAAAGGCAGGCCGCCUUGGGCUUGGUAUUCAUUUAAAAAAAAAAAACAAAAAAACCACCACUCUGCACCAUGGCCUUCAAAUCCAUUCUUCCAUACCUAGACCCCUGGUGCUUGUCACUUGAUGUGGCAUCAUUGACAGUGACUGGAGCUUCCAACAUACUUUUUGUCCUCUAUGGUGUUUCCAGUAUCCCUUUCAGUAAAUUUUUAAUGACCCUUUCAAUUAUGGGCCAAACAACAUUUGACAGAAUGCACCCUUGUCUAAUACCAGCACUUAGACUGGAGUGGUGUUUUUAGACAGCAAUUAGCAUCCACAAUGCUGUCAUGAUAUUUGUGAACAUACUUUAGGGUUGAUCUUAAUGAUUCCAUUACAAUAUUCUCUACUUUUUCACAAGUGUGAUGGUCUUGCUUUUAUGGUAUUGUGCAGAAGCUGUGGAUUUGGGUUUUGCUUGGAAAGGACUAAGCCUGUGUGUUUUUCUCUUCUGGGCCUAUAACCUGCUGGAACCAGAUCUGCUGAAGGUUUUAGGGGCUCUCUAGUGUAGCCCUGAAGCACAGUGUGGGAGAGCUGUAGCCGUUGUAUGUGAAAUUGCUAGGAGACAGAGCGACUACAGCAGGUGUCCUUGUGAACCAGUAGGUGAAAGGAAAGGUCUCAUAGAAGUUUCCGAAAGCUGUAAGGCAAGACACAAUGCUUCAAUGUUUAUCUUUUCCAUAAAACAAUUUUGAAUUCUCUCAACUGUGUGUAAACUUCUAAAUGUAUAGCUGCUACUACAUUUGGCUUGAAUGAGUGAAAUAUACAUAGGCAAGUUGAUACAUGAGCAAUAAUUCAGAAAACUUUGCCCCCAAUACUCUUGGAAGCAAGGGAUGAGAGGGUUGCUGUUUAUUCCUAAUUAUUCCAGUCAGCAUUAUACAAUUCUUAUCUUGGGGCCUGGUUUUUAUGGGUGUCACAUGGUCGUAGAUAACAACUUACAUAUGGGCUUAGCUAGGCCCCCUCUCUGAUAAUAGAGAGGAACCACCAGGAGGCUAAAGGACCCAAUGAAGGCAUAACCUCCAUUGAAUCCUAAUAGGAACAUACGGUUGAUCUCUUUUUUCUCCCUGAAUCUACAGUGCUCUGAGGACAUUUUGCAGUUAAAUGCUUAUGAAAAUAAAAACCUAUUCUUCUGUAGUGUGUUUAUAUUGCCAUCUAGCUAUGACCUUGAAGUCAAUCUCAGAGAUCGAUUUCUGACUUUUUCUGUUAGGAACAUGCCUUUGCAGAGCUAAGGAAAAUUCAGUGGCAUUCAAUAAAGUUAUUUUUGUAUUAAUCUGUUCUGUUUCCAAACCAUAGUUAUGGUUUUCCUGGUUGGUUUGUCUGUCUGUCUGUUUGUUUUUACCAACUGGGGUUUGGAUUUCUAAAUAAGAGGCCUAAAACUUCCAGAUGGCAUAGAUAUCAUAUUUCUACAUUAUGAUCAUAUUUACUUAAUAUUUAUCCAAAGAAAAUACUCUUUAUUUCAACUUAAUAAUGUAGAAUACUUGCACACAUUUCUCUGGCUUUAUUUCAUAUCCUGGAGUAGUACAUCAUCCUUUCUGCCCCAGGCCCUUUGCACCUGGUAUUCCUUCUACCUGGAAUGUGUUUUCCUUCAUUUUUCCUAGUUAAUUCACUUCUAAAAUUUAGCUCAAAGUAGUUUUUCAGAGAAUCUUACAUAAAACCUUCUACUUUGCCUUGAACUAGGUCUGUUUCCCCAGUUAAAAAUUUUGUAUCUCUUCUUGGUUACCCAAAUCUCAAAUAUAAUUAAAUAAUAUAUUGUGCAACCAGUUAUUCAACAUCUGAAUUCCCAGGCAGAAUAUACAUGUCUUGAAGUUGAACAAUUACAACUUCUUAUUUACAGUCCUAUACCAAGCCCCUCACUCAGAUCUUUGCACUAGAAGAUGUUCAAUUACUAUUUAUUGAUUGAAUAAAUGAAUAUUACUUGAAUAAUUUGACUAAUUUUGAUUAAAUCUGUUAUAUCACCAAAGAAGAGCAAUGUAUAUCUUAGGUCUAGUUCUGGUCUUGACUACCACUGUGUCUCUGAUAUCUCUGCCCUAGAAUUGGGGUUUUAUAGUCAUGGAUCCACUGGAAUUUGUGGCCUGAAGUGGUUUAUAGAAAAUAAAAUUUAAAUACAUUUGAUUGUGCAUUUCUAAUUCAUAAUAAUAGAAGCGUGAUUCAAAUAUGGAUUAGAAAAGAGCUGAGAAUAGCCAUUGGGAAAAAAAGAGGUAUUUCUUAUAUAUUUUUGUUUGGAAUAGAAAUAUGUGUUUGGAUCUUUCCUUGCAUCUGAAGAGAAAUUAGAUGUCAAAUAACAUUUAACAUGGGAUAAGCAAACUAUCUGAUUUGAUAGAAGAGGGACAUUGUAUAUUCUGAGAUAGACUUGGAGAUUCAACAACAAACUGAGGUUGAAUAAUCAUCUUUCAUGGGUACUUUGGUGGACAUUGCUCAUAAUGAAAGGCUUACUUUAAUUUUCUGAUGGAAAAACUUGUUGCAUAGGAUCCCGUGUAGUUACAUUUUAUUUUCUUUAUUAAAAUUUUUUUUUAACAUUUAUUCAUUUUUGAGAGACAGGGAGAGACAGAGACAGAGAACUUGAAGCAGGCUCCAGGCUCUGUGCUGUCAGCACAGAGCCCAAUAUGGGGCUUGAACUCACGAACCAUGAGAUCAUGACCUGAGCCAAAGUUGGACACUCAACCAACUGAGCCACCCAGGCACCCCAUAGUUCCAUAUUAAAGAGGCUGACUCCAGAAGUUGAUUCAGUUUCAUGUGACUUCAGUUACAUCAAAAUACUUUAUUCUUUGAGACUCUUCCAUAUACCAACUGUCAAA